UACGGGGGGAGCAAGCGUUGUUCGGAUUUACUGGGCGUAAAGGGCGCGUAGGCGGCCAGCACAAGUCAGUUGUGAAAUCUCCGGGCUUAACUCGGAAAGGUCAACUGAUACUGUGCGGCUAGAGUGCAGAAGGGGCAACUGGAAUUCUCGGUGUAGCGGUGAAAUGCGUAGAUAUCGAGAGGAACACCUGCGGCGAAGGCGGAUCUCUGGGCCAUUACUGACGCUGAGGAGCGAAAGCGUGGGGAGCGAACAGG
rnacentral:rRNA from 1 species